rnacentral:rRNA from 1 species
UACGUAGGGGGCAAGCGUUGUCCGGAAUCAUUGGGCGUAAAGCGCGCGCAGGCGGAUCCUGCAAGUCCGGAGUGAAAUCUCACCGCUCAACGGUGAGGCUGCUUUGGAUACUGCGGAUCUGGAGACCGGUAGAGGCUGGUAGAAUUGCAGGUGUAGCGGUGGAAUGCGUAGAGAUCUGCAAGAAUACCCGUGGCGAAGGCGGCCAGCUGGGCCGGUUCUGACGCUGAGGCGCGAAAGCGUGGGGAGCAAACAGG